rnacentral:lncRNA from 10 species
GUCGAUGAAUGUGGGGUACCAUUCCUUGAUGAUGUGGUCAUGUUUGUAGUCGGCCUUAUUGUCCUUUAGAUGUUCCACGGUGUUCCGCUCGCUCUUCUCAUAGGCCUCCCGGGGCUUCCGGACAGACACCUUGCAUUCUCGGACCUUGUUGACGAUGAAUUCUUGGAUGAGAAACCUGAUAUCUUCCAUGAGGCAGUCAUCAUAAAGAAGUCUGAAUAUCUUGGUUGAGAGCUAGACUUUGGAAACAGAGAGACCCUGUAUAAUAACAGACUAAGAAGUAAGGAAGACAAGCCCAGCCAGUCCCACAACUAUUUCAUUAAUACCAGGUAAAGCAACAGACCUGCCAGUGAAGCAUCUUGGAUCCUUUAGCUUUAGUAAUGUUCUUGUAGUAAUUUUGGAAGUCAAUACUUUCCUUAAGAAUACUAAAGUUUUCUUUUGGGAAAAGAGAAAAACUGAGGAGAGGAAACAAACUGCUCUUAUACCUUCUUCCAUGGUCUUUGGAUGAAGGUUAAGUUAUGGGCCCCAAAAGUGGGCUAGCCUCAUUUGGAUAAUACUCCAUCCUAAGCAGUAUGGUUUUGAAUAAGUUGCUGAGACUUUCUGUGCCUCCAUUUGUAAAUGGUAUAAUAAUACCUAGUUCAUGGAAUUGUUGUGAGAAUGACAUAAGUGAAAGUAUGUAUAUUUCCAUGUUCUAUAUAAACUGGUUUUCUACAAAUUACAAAGCAACAACUAACCAAGUUAAUUGAAAUCGAGUACUUUAUUCAAGUAAUAAAUAUCUGGUAUUUACAAAUCAAAAUUGAAAAUCAUAGUACAUAACGAAAAUUCAUAUAUACAGAUCAACAAAUAUAGUAAUUUAAAACACC